UCGGUGGGCCCGCCGUAUGGCCGCCGGGGGGCUUCUGCCCCCGGGCCCGUGCCCGCCGAAGACACCUAGAACUCUGUCUGAAGAUUGUAGUCUGAGUGAAAAUAUAAAUUAUUUAAAACUUUCAACAACGGAUCUCUUGGUUCCGGCAUCGAUGAAGAACGCAGCGAAAUGCGAUACGUAAUGUGAAUUGCAGAAUUCAGUGAAUCAUCGAGUCUUUGAACGCACAUUGCGCCCUCUGGUAUUCCGGAGGGCAUGCCUGUCCGAGCGUCAUUGCUGCCCUCAAGCACGGCUUGUGUGUUGGGCCCCGCCCCCCGAUCCCGGGGGGCGGGCCCGAAAGGCAGCGGCGGCACCGCGUCCGGUCCUCGAGCGUAUGGGGCUUUGUCACCCGCUCUGUAGGCCCGGCCGGCGCUUGCCGAUCAACCAAACUUUUUUCCAGGUUGACCUCGGAUCAGGUAGGGAUACCCGCUGAACUUAAGCAUAUC
rnacentral:rRNA from 1 species